AGUGAAGCGGCAACAGCUCAAAUUUGAAAUCGGGCAACCGUCCGAGUUGUAAUUUGCAGAGGAUGCUUCGGAGGAGAGGCCGGUCCAAGUUCCCUGGAACGGGACGUCAGAGAGGGUGAGAAUCCCGUCCAUGGCCGCGCCGACCCUCGUACGUAGCUCCUUCGACGAGUCGAGUUGUUUGGGAAUGCAGCUCUAAAUGGGAGGUAAAUUUCUUCUAAAGCUAAAUACCGGCCAGAGACCGAUAGCGCACAAGUAGAGUGAUCGAAAGAUGAAAAGCCCUUUGAAAAGAGAGUCAACCAGCACGUGAAAUUGUUGAAAGGGAAGCGCCUACGAUCAGACUCGCCGGCGACGUUCCACCGGUCCUCGUGACCGGUUCAUUCGUCGUCGGCGGGCCAGCAUCGUCUGAGACCGCCGGACAAACCCGGAGGAAUGUGGCUCCCUCGGGAGUGUUAUAGCCUCCGGUCAUGCGGCGCGUCUCGGGCGAGGUCCGCACUUCGGUAAGGAUGCUGGCGUAAUGGUCGUCGGCGGCCCGUCUUGAAACACGGACCAAGGAGUCCAACAUCUGUGCGAGUGUUCGGGUGUCAAACCCAUACGCGUAAUGAAAGUGAACGGAGGUGGGAACUUCGGUGCACCAUCGACCGAUCCUGAUGUCCUCGGAUGGAUUUGAGUAAGAGCACAGCUGUUGGGACCCGAAAGAUGGUGAACUAUGCCUGGAUAGGGUGAAGCCAGAGGAAACUCUGGUGGAGGCUCGCAGCGGUUCUGACGUGCAAAUCGAUCGUCAAAUUUGGGUAUAGGGGCGAAAGACUAAUCGAACCAUCGACCCGUAGUAGAAGCGGACGCGAGCUACUAGGUGGUUAAGAGGGACGUAAAAGACGAGCCCUAGUGUUCCGGGAUCCACGAUCCCGGAUCGCGACACUGUCAAAUUGCGGGAACAUCCUAAAGCCUUCGACUACCGCGGCCCGCCGAAAGGCAGGGUGCAGCACCAGGGUAACGACCUCGGGGAUGGUAAAAACGUCGAGGAUGCAAACAAUGGAUAAUCCGCAGCCAAGCGCUACAGCCGUCUAUUCUGGCAGCCAGGCGUGCAGUUCAACGACUAGAUGGCAGUGGGUCCGACCGCACGGCUUCGACCUGCGGAGGGCUUAAGAUAGA
rnacentral:rRNA from 1 species